rnacentral:rRNA from 1 species
GAUGAACGCUAGCUACAGGCUUAACACAUGCAAGUCGAGGGACCGGCGCACGGGUGAGUGACAGGUAUCCAACCUGCCCUUUACUCGGGGAUAGCCUUUCGACAGAAAGAAUAAUACCAUAUAUAAAGGAUGGGGAUGCGUUCCAUUAGGUUGUUGGUGAGGUAACGGGUCACCAAGCCUUCGAUGGAUAGGGGUUCUGAGAGGAAGGUCCCCCACAUUGGAACGGGGACACGGUCCAAACGGCUACGGGAUGUAGCAGUGAGGAAUAGUUGGCAAUGGGCGCGAGACUGAAACAGCCGAGUAGCGUGAAGGAUGAAGGCUUAUGGGUCGUAACUUCUUUUAGAGAAGAAUAUGUACUAGAUGAAUAAGGAUCGGCUAACUCCGUGCCAGCAGCCGCGGUAAUAC